AACUCAUUGAUCUGCUGGCAGGGAUCAGAUGAUGUCAUCAGAGAAUUGAUCAGAUGAUUUUCUGUCAGUCUGCAGGUCGAGAACCAGACAGGUGGCAGCAGAGAAGGUAAAACAUCAUUAACACACCCUCGUUAACACAUCGUUCAUUAACCUGAUGAGCUCGUUAAAGCUGAUUAACACAUUCACUCUGUCACUGACCAAUCAGCAGCAGCCUCUCUGUCACUGACCAAUCAGCAGCAGCCUCUUGUGUCAGAUGCAUCACUUUAGUGCCUUAUUGACCUUCAGUAAUCAAUAAUCAGUAAUCAAUACUCAGUAAUCAAUAAUAAGUAAUGAAUAAUCAGUCACCAGUAUCCAGUCAUCAAUAAUCAGUAAUCAGUAUCCAGGCGCUGUAUUCACUUUUCAGGAUAAGUUCAGGUGUGUGCUGGAACACUCACCUGUGUCCUGCUGCAGGUGGUGGUGGUGACAUCAUACCGGUCCCGCUGCCCUAAGGAACUGGACCUGAACCAGGGAGACCUGGUCCAGGUUCUGUUUAAGGAGGACGAGGCCUGGUGGUUCGGCCGGCUGUCCACCGGACACCGGGGAUAUUUUCCUGCCACCUGUGUGGAGCCGCUGCAGGGUGGGGCGGUGCAGGCCACGCCCCCUCUGAAGAGGAGGGUGUCGGUGCCGAUGAUGCCAACAGACAGCGCCCCCUGUGGCUGCACCAGCGGUCGCAGCACUCCCAAACUGCUGAGGAAAAACAGCGUUCGGCGGUCAGUUGGUCUCGACGGACCCUCAGAGUCGUCGGAACCAGGAGGGUCGGUUCACGGGUCACCCAGCCUCCUGCACCGAGUCUUGGCCAAGUCCAGGAGGAAGAGCUGCCCUCAGCUGCCCCACCCAGCUCCAGACUCCGGCACCAUCAACACCGCCUUCCAGCCGGACUAGACCAGAACCUGCUGCUGUCCAGACGGUCUAGACCCAGUUUCUCAGUGAUUUCAGAAUCUGCUCCUCAAAUCCAAAAGACAGUGAAGACUAACCGACCCUGUUCUCUGUGAAGUGGACCCGUUUGAGUCGACAUCACUUCCAGGUCCAGUCCGAGUCACUGAGAUCAUCUUCAGGUCGCUGAUGUCCUACAGGUCUGAGUCCAAGUGUCCUGAUGUGUUCUGAACAUCAUGUUUGAGUCACCAAAGACUUGUCAGAGUCACGCAGGUAAAGACCUGUGGAGGUUCAGUUCUGAGUCCCUGAGAAAGAGUCCCAGUUAGUCUCAAGAGUCCUGAAGGACACAAACCAGCAUCAAGUCUCUCCGGUGUCUGAAGUGUAUCAGUACCUGUAUCUGAGUCAGCAGGUCCACGAGUUCCUGAGCUCACGUUGAAGUCAGGGAGGCCAAUCCCAAGAUUUCAAGUCAGUCUGAGUCUCUCAGUAGCUGUCGAGUCACUUUCAGUUUCCAAGUCAUUUAUGUCAGAGUCCAGGCAAGUCUUUAGGUCCAAGUCCUCGUCUCUGACGUCCUGUUUCAGGUCAGUCUGCCGAGACCAGCUGGAAUCGAUCAGAGGAAUUGAUCUUCAGCUGCUCAGAGACUAAAUCAACUUUGAAUCCAUAAAAAAGGAAUCUGAAUCUGUAUAAACUGAAAUUAAAACAUGUUUAUUUCACAUCUGAGCAGAAUGAAAAGCAGAACAUAUCAAAAACAAUCCUUCAGUUUAUUUAGGAAGAACCACGUUUUGUUUCUGGAGAUUCACAAUUUCACAUCUAAAAUAAGUGAAAAAAUAAAAUAAAUGUAUCAGAACAUCUACUGAAACAUAAAACAAUGAAUUAAAAUCAGUGUUCAGUGAAA